rnacentral:rRNA from 1 species
GUCCACGCUGUAAACGAUGAUCACUCGUUGUUAGCGAUAUACUGUUAGCGACUUAGCGAAAGCAUUAAGUGAUCCACCUGGGGAGUACGGCGGCAACGUUGAAACUCAAAGGAAUUGACGGGGGCCCGCACAAGCGGAGGAGCAUGUGGUUUAAUUCGAUGAUACGCGAGGAACCUUACCUGGGCUUAAAUGUAGGACGACGUUUCGUGAAAGCGGAAUUUCCUUCGGGACGUCUUACAAGGUGCUGCAUGGUUGUCGU